rnacentral:rRNA from 1 species
CCUACGGGAGGCAGCAGUGAGGAAUAUUGGUCAAUGGCCGAGAGGCUGAACCAGCCAAGUCGCGUGAGGGAAGACGGCCCUACGGGUUGUAAACCUCUUUUUUCGGGGAGCAAAGCGAGUCACGUGUGACUCAUUGAGAGUACCCGAAGAAAAAGCAUCGGCUAACUCCGUGCCAGCAGCCGCGGUAAUACGGAGGAUGCGAGCGUUAUCCGGAUGUAGUGGGUGUAAAGGGUGCGCAGGCGGCGGUGCAAGUCAGCGGUAAAAUUGAGGUGCUCAACCCCGUACUGCCGUUGAAACUGCAUCCCUUGAGUGCGCGAGAGGUAUGCGGAAUGCGUGGUGUAGCGGUGAAAUGCAUAGAUAUCACGCAGAACUCUGAUUGCGAAGGCAGCAUACCGGAGCGCAACUGACGCUCAUGCACGAAAGCGUGGGUAUCGAACAGGAUUAGAUACCCCUGUAGUC